UACAGAGGGUGCAAGCGUUAAUCGGAAUUACUGGGCGUAAAGGGCGCGUAGGCGGCUUAUCAAGUCAGGCGUGAAAUUCCCGGGCUCAACCUGGGGGCUGCGCUUGAUACUGAUUGGCUUGAAUGCGGGAGAGGAUAGUGGAAUUCCCAGUGUAGAGGUGAAAUUCGUAGAUAUUGGGAGGAACACCAGUGGCGAAGGCGGCUCACUGGACCGGAACUGACGCUGAGGCGCGAAAGCGUGGGGAGCAAACAGG
rnacentral:rRNA from 1 species